rnacentral:rRNA from 1 species
GGAUAAAUUCUGAAAGCAUCUAAGAAUGAAGCCAACCCCAAGAUUAGGAAUCGUUUGAGAGCCCUAGGAGAUGACUAGGUUGAUAGGCGCUAGGUAUAAGCACCGUAAGGUGUUAAGCCGAGGCGUACUAAUUGCUCGAAUUCU